CAAAUGGGCUUCUUCUUACCAUGCAGUCGAACGCCCCGCAAGGGGAGUGGCUCACGGGUGAGUAACGCGUGAGAACAUACCCUUUCCUGCGGAAUAGCUCCGGGAAACUGGAAUUAAUACCGCAUACGCCCUACGGGGGAAAGAUUUAUCGGGGAAGGAUUGGCCCGCCUUGGAUUAGCUAGUUGGUGGGGUAAACGCCUACCAAGGCAACUAUCCAUAGCUGGUCUGAGAGGAUGAUCAGCCACAUUGGGACUGAGACACGGCCCAGACUCCCACCGGAGGCAGCGGUGCGGAAUCUUGGACACUGGGCGCAGGCCUGAUCCAGCCAUGCCGCGUGAGUGAUGAAGGCCUUAGGGUUGUAAAGCUCUUUCACCGGAAAACAUAAUGACGGUAUCCGGAGAACAAGCCCCGGCUAACUUCGUGCCAGCAGACGCGCAAAUACGAAGGGGGCUAGCGUUGUUCGGAAUUACUGGGCCCAAAGCGCCCGUAGGCGGAUAUUUAAGGCAGGGGUGAAAUCCCAGAGCUCAACUCUGGAACUGCCUUUGAUACUGGGUAUCUUGAGUAUGGAAGAGGUAAGUGGAAUUCCGAGUGAACAGCUGAAAUUCCUAGAUAUUCGGAGGAACACCAGGGGCGAUGGAGGCUUACUGGUCCAUUACUGACGCUGAGAGUGCGAAAGCGAAUGCGAGCAAACAGGAUUAGAUACCCUGGUAGUCCACGCCGUACACGAUGAAUGUUAGCCGUCGAGCAGUAUACUGUUCGGUGGCGCAGCUAACGCAUUAACAUUCCGCCUGGGAGUACGGUCGCAAGAUAAAACUCACGGAAUUGACCGGUGCCCGCACAAGCUGUGGAGCAUGUGGUUCAAUUCGAAGCAACACGGAGAACAGUACCAGCUCUUGACAUUCGGGGAGUGGGCAGUUGAGACGUUGUACCUUCAGAUAGGCUGGCCCACCUACGGGAGCUGCAUGGCUGUUCGUCAGCUCUGUCGUGGACGAUGUUGGGAAUCAGACUCGCACC
rnacentral:rRNA from 1 species